GGGUACAUAGGGAAAUGACUAGCAGCGCACACGAUCGGGCUAGAGGAAAAACACAUGAGUUUCUUACUUGCCGCUUUGCGAAUUCUUGUCUUUUUAUAGUGGGAAGCCCAAUGAUACUUUUGGAGGUUCCAUGUUAGACCUGGAAUCAGCCUCCCUAUUUCUCUGUUCCAUAAGUUGGGUGAGGAGAUAGCCAAUCAUGUUUUCUCAUGUUCUCUCUCAAAUCUGGAAACUUGCAACUUCGUGUCUCCAGGUGGUUGGAAAAAUUUGGCCUAGCCUAACCUAUCCAGAUUUAUCCUCAGCUAUGUGUCCUUGGGCAGUCCAAGCAGCAGUGGGUGAUAUUUACCUUUCCAGGAAGGAGCAGCCCUAUACACUAGGGCCCAAGUCCCUGCAAAGGAGCCUGGAGGUACUUCAUCUCUCCCACUUGUUUCUGGCACUAAGGAGGAUACUAGUAACCUUUUACCACCUCUACACCACUUUCUAGUGCACCAUGACUGCAAGCUGCUCUGUGCAACUUUCCCACAGCUGUGUUGCUUCCUCUGCAAUUGAAAGCACCAGUCAUGCAUCAAGGAGAGAGUUCUGGAAUAAUCUAUGAAGACAGUUAGCAAAAAUCCAGUUUCCAUCCUACCUCAAGGGGCAUAGUGGAGACCCGUGUAAGGAGAAAACAGUAAGAAGAAAGACUUCUUUUCCACUGGAUUUAGAAGAACCUCUAUAUUUACAGACCCUUCAGGUUACAAAAUAAAAGUAAUAAAAAAUAUGUUCUCUUAAUAAAGGUCUUUAUGAUAAAAUUUAAA